rnacentral:tRNA from 1 species
AAAGUGCCGGGGCUUCUCCCGUUUUUUUUCUUCAACGGGAGAAGC